CCUGACUGCUAUCGGAUUGAUACUAAGCCAUGUGAGUCAUUGUAGCAAUACAAGGCAGACGGCUCAGUAACACGUAGUCAAUCUACCCUAUGGACGGGGAUAACCUCGGGAAACUGAGGAUAACACCCGAUAGAUCAUUAAUCCUGGAACGGUUUAUGGUCCAAAUGAUUCGUCGCCGUAGGAUGGGACUGCGGCCUAUCAGCUUGUUGGUGAGGUAAUGGCCCACCAAGGCUAUUACAGGUACGGGCUCUGAGAGGAGAGGCCCGGAGAUGGGUACUGAGACACGGACCCAGGCCCUAUGGGGCGCAGCAGGCGAGAAACCUUUGCAAUGUGCGCAAGCACGACAAGGUUAAUCCGAGUGUUUCCUGCUAAAGGAAUCUUUUGUUAGUUGUAAAACCACUGACGAAUAAGGGGUGGGCAAGUUCUGGUGUCAGCCGCCGCGGUAAAACCAGCACCUCAAGUGGUCAGGAGGAUUAUUGGGCCUAAAGCAUCCGUAGCCUGUUCUAUAAGUUUCCGGUUAAAUCCACUAGCUCAACUAAUGGGCUGCCGAAAAUACUGUAGAACUAGGGAGUGGGAGAGGUAGACGGUACUCGGGAGGAAGGGGUAAAAUCCUUUGAUCUCUCGAUGACCACCUGUGGCGAAGGCGGUCUACCAGAACACGUCCGACGGUGAGGGAUGAAAGCUGGGGGAGCAAACCGGAUUAGAUACCCGGGUAGUCCCAGCUGUAAACUAUGCAAACUCAGUGAUGCAUUGGCUUGAUGCUAAUGCAGUGUUGCAGGGGAGCCGUUAAGUUUGCCGCCUGGGAAGUACGUACGCAAGUAUGAAACUUAAAGGAAUUGGCGGGGGAGCACCACAAGGGGUGAAGCCUGCGGUUC
rnacentral:rRNA from 1 species